GAUGAACGCUGGCGGCGUGCCUAAUACAUGCAAGUCGAGCGAACGGACGAGAAGCUUGCUUCUCUGAUGUUAGCGGCGGACGGGUGAGUAACACGUGGAUAACCUACCUAUAAGACUGGGAUAACUUCGGGAAACCGGAGCUAAUACCGGAUAAUAUUUUGAACCGCAUGGUUCAAAAGUGAAAGACGGUCUUGCGGUCACUUAUAGAUGGAUCCGCGCUGCAUUAGCUAGUUGGUAAGGUAACGGCUUACCAAGGCAACGAUGCAUAGCCGACCUGAGAGGGUGAUCGGCCACACUGGAACUGAGACACGGUCCAGACUCCUACGGGAGGCAGCAGUAGGGAAUCUUCCGCAAUGGGCGAAAGCCUGACGGAGCAACGCCGCGUGAGUGAUGAAGGUCUUCGGAUCGUAAAGCUCUGUUAUUAGGGAAGAACAUAUGUGUAAGUAACUGUGCACAUCUUGACGGUACCUAAUCAGAAAGCCACGGCUAACUACGUG
rnacentral:rRNA from 1 species